GGGAGAUGAGUAAGAAAAAAAGAAAAAGAAAAGAACAAGAAUAAAAAGAAUGAAGAUGAAGAAAAGAAGGAGAUAAAGAAGAGGAGGAAGAGUAGCGGCGACAGAGGCAUGUUGAUGGCAAUACUCUAGCUAGGACAAACCAAAUCUAAAAGCAACCAAGCCAUAUGAUCAAGGAGCUCGCGAUUUUGGUGGAUGCUUGCGGAAAUGGUGGUGGAUGAAAGUAGAUGCUCACGGCUUUGGCUAUUUGAAUGGUGAAGGAUGAAGUGUUUAAGGUUCUCUAGGAAAGGUUGGGCCAACCCUUGGAGGAAGGUGGCUAGAGGAAGCCACUUGGGUU
rnacentral:lncRNA from 1 species